rnacentral:rRNA from 1 species
AGUGAACGCUGGCGGCGUGCCUAAUACAUGCAAGUCGAACGGAGUGGAGCACGGGUGAGUAAUGUAUAGCUAAUCUGCCCUACACUAGAGGACAACCGUUGGAAACGGCUGCUAAUACUCUAUAGUGUAGGAUGAGGCUAUAUUGUAUCAGCUAGUGGGUGAGGUAAUGGCUCACCAAGGCUAUGACGCAUAACUGGUCUGAGAGGAUGAUCAGUGCCACUGGAACAGAGACACGGUGCAGACACCUACGGGAGGGAGCAGUAGGGAGUAUUGCUCAAUGGGGGGAACCCUGAAGCGGCAACGCGGCGUGGAGGAUGACACUUUUCGGAGCGGAAACUCCUUUUUUUAGGGAAGCGGUACCUAACGAAUAAGCACCGGCUAACUCCGUGCCAGCAGCCGCGGUAAUAC